rnacentral:tRNA from 1 species
GACCCCGUAGCUCAACUGGAUAGAGCAUCCGCCUUCUAAGCGGACGGUUGCGUGUUCGAGUCACGCCGGGGUCGCCA